UGGCCUAAGUAGUAUUUAAGAAAACAAACAAAUAAACAAAAACAAAGGCCCCGUCCUGAUGACCCCUAAAAAUCCCUGGUGACGCUGCAUUCGCCCGUUCUAUUUCGUUAGAAUGGCAUUCUACAAUGGUUGCCCCUUUGUGACAGCCUUAUUUCACACAGGUGCCUUGUUCUCGAGUUUCACCCACGCUGGGACAGGCAUCAGGACUCCGCUCCUCUUUAUGGCUGAGGAAUUGCCCCGCGUGGGGCGAGGCGAGACCCCCUUUGAUGUAUCUGCUCACCUGUGGAUGGACAUUUAGAUGGCUUCCCCCUUCUGGAUUAGGAAGAGGGCUACUAAAUGUUACCGCGGUGAACACCUGAUCUGUCCGUGCUCUGGCUUUCAGUGCUCCUGGAGGUGGAAUUUGGACGCAGAACUCCGGCAUCACAUGGCCCUUCGGGGUUCAGAGAGACUGUGGUUCCUCAUCCUCAGUUGUGGAUUCUUUUUCUGCCAGGGAAUCAGCCUUCCGUAAGCCACAGAACGUACCUGUGAGGGGCUUCAAAAUGUGCCAGGAGAAAAGAUCGUGGGCUUGGGGUUUUAUUGCCCCUAUGGAUUUUCUGGAGUUCCUCUAUUCAGCGGAUCUACUUUGGAAAUUGUGUCAGGAGUCACCAGUCCCUAGAGCAGGAAUCCAUGCAGUGAAAUCGAGAGCCAGGGGGAAAGAGGACGAUGUCCCCAGAGACUCCGACAUAAGAGCCAGGCGAGGAUGACAUAGGGUUUCAAUGAGCUGGAACCGACUUAGCCGCACCUCACAGCACAAGCCCCCCUCACCUGUCUUUCAGAGAUGUUUCUAGUACAAAUUAACAGAACCUGCACGGAGAAAGUUUAGAACCUAAUAAAAUAAAAUCUUAUAAACCUGUUUUA